rnacentral:rRNA from 1 species
UACGUAGGGGGCAAGCGUUGUCCGGAUUUAUUGGGCGUAAAGAGCGUGUAGGCGGCUUUACAGGUCCGUUGUGAAAACUCGAGGCUCAACCUCGAGACGCCGGUGGAAACCGUAAAGCUAGAGUCCGGAAGAGGAGAGUGGAAUUCCUGGUGUAGCGGUGAAAUGCGCAGAUAUCAGGAGGAACACCCGUGGCGAAAGCGGCUCUCUGGGACGGUACUGACGCUGAGACGCGAAAGCGGGGGGAGCAAACAGG